AGGAUCCGCACGUCCUCCCGUCCGUUGCAUCGAUUUUUUUAAAUUUUCUGACGAAAAAGUGCGUUUAGUGUACACAAUUUAUGCUUAAUCUGUUACUAGUGCCCUGCUUAGCCUCCUUAAAAAGCGCGUUAUAUUAAUACUACAACACCACACACUCCUUUG